AACGAACGCUGGCGGUAUGCCUAACACAUGCAAGUCGAACGAAGGCUUCGGCCUUAGUGGCGCACGGGUGCGUAACGCGUGGGAAUCUGCCCUUAGGUUCGGAAUAACAGUUAGAAAUGACUGCUAAUACCGGAUGAUGACGUAAGUCCAAAGAUUUAUCGCCUGAGGAUGAGCCCGCGUAGGAUUAGCUAGUUGGUGUGGUAAAGGCGCACCAAGGCGACGAUCCUUAGCUGGUCUGAGAGGAUGAUCAGCCACACUGGGACUGAGACACGGCCCAGACUCCUACGGGAGGCAGCAGUGGGGAAUAUUGGACAAUGGGCGCAAGCCUGAUCCAGCAAUGCCGCGUGAGUGAUGAAGGCCUUAGGGUUGUAAAGCUCUUUUACCCGUGAUGAUAAUGACAGUAGCGGGAGAAUAAGCCCCGGCUAACUCCGUG
rnacentral:rRNA from 1 species